rnacentral:rRNA from 1 species
UACGGAGGGUGCAAGCGUUGUCCGGAUUCAUUGGGUUUAAAGGGUGCGCAGGCGGGACAUUAAGUCAGGGGUGAAAGACGGUUGCUCAACAAUCGCAGUGCCUUUGAUACUGGUGUUCUUGGGUGACCUUGAGGUAGGCGGAAUGGGUGGUGUAGCGGUGAAAUGCAUAGAUACCACCCAGAACUCCGAUUGCGAAGGCAGCCUACUGGAGGUUUACCGACGCUCAGGCACGAAAGCCGUGGGGAUCAAACAGG